CCAUCAUUAUGGUGAGCCGCGAAUGGCUCAUUACAACAGCUAUUGUUUAUUGGAUUUGAUGUUCACUUGGAUAACUGUGGUAAUUCUAGAGCUAAUACAUGAAACCGAGCUCUAGCCGCAAGGCGAGAGUGCAAUUAUUAGUCUAAAACCAACCGGCUACGGCUGAAGUUUGGUGAAUCUGAAUAAACCUGCUUAUUGCACAGUCUAUGAACUGGCAAAGCAUCUUUCAAGUGUCUGCCUUAUCAACUGUUGAUGGUAGUUUACAUGCCUACCAUGGUUAUUACGGGUAACGGAGAAUAAGGGUUUGACUCCGGAGAGGGAGCCUGAGAAAUGGCUACCACAUCCAAGGAAGGCAGCAGGCGCGCAAAUUACCCAAUCUCAGAACGAGGAGGUAGUGACAAAAAAUAAUGAGAUGAAUCUCUUUGAGGUUCAUCAUCAAAAUGGGUACAAUUUAAACCCUUUAAUGAGGAACAAUUGGAGGGCAAGUCUGGUGCCAGCAGCCGCGGUAAUUCCAGCUCCAAUAGCGUAUAUUAAAGUUGUUGCAGUUAAAAAGCUCGUAGUUGGAUCUAUGGUCUUGGAAGCUUGUCCCCCUCUGGGUGUGACUCGUCUUUCAGCCGUAAUCAGCUGGUUAAUCGCAGGUCCUCUUCAUUGAGUGCUUGUGAAGGCUAGCGCUUUUACUUUGAAAAAAUUAGAGUGCUCAAAGCAGGCGAUUGCCUGGAUACUGGUGCAUGGAAUAAUAGAAUAGGACCUUUGUCCUAUUUUGUUGGCUUAUGGGCAGAGGUAAUGAUUAAGAGAAACAAAUGGGGGCAUCCGUAUUGCGACGUUAGAGGUGAAAUUCUUGGAUCGUGCGCAAGAUGAACAAUUGCGAAAGCGAUUGCCAAAAAGU
rnacentral:rRNA from 1 species